GCCCCCAUCGUCUAGCGGUCUAGGACACUGGCCUUUCAAGCCAGUGGCACGGGUCCGAAUCCCGUUGGGGGCGCCA
rnacentral:tRNA from 2 species